rnacentral:tRNA from 2 species
GCCCUGAUAGCUCAGCUGGAUAGAGCAACAGCCUUCUAAGCUGUAGGUCGCUGGUUCGAGUCCAGCUCAGGGUACCA